UACGUAGGGUGCAAGCGUUGUCCGGAAUUAUUGGGCGUAAAGAGCUCGUAGGCGGUCUGUCGCGUCUGCUGUGAAAACUCAGGGCUUAACCCUGAGCUUGCAGUGGGUACGGGCAGACUAGAGUGCGGUAGGGGAGACUGGAAUUCCUGGUGUAGCGGUGAAAUGCGCAGAUAUCAGGAGGGAACACCGGUGGCGAAGGCGGGUCUCUGGGCCGUAACUGACGCUGGAGGAGCGGAAAGCAUGGGGAGCGAACAG
rnacentral:rRNA from 1 species